rnacentral:lncRNA from 1 species
CAUGAUUCAUUAAAAAUACAAAUAAAAAGAUACAACAUAACCCCCAAGAAAUAAAAAAUAAAAGAAAAGGUAUGUUCCUCUUCCUAUUGCUGAAUUUGACCUAUCGGUAGCCAUGAAAUAGGAAAGAGAGCAUUAUGGCGAUCUUACAAUUCAUUCAUUCAGUAAAAUCAUGCAUCCAAAGAUGUAAAUCUACAUUCGCGCCACCAAAGGAAACUGUACAGCCAGCAGCAUGGACACCAGUCUUCAGACAUAGGUAACCAAUCAAAAUAGCACGAUAGAGUCGAAGUAACACUGCCAGAAGUAACACGAAUCCCACUCUGGCCAGCAAUUAUCCCAUUUUCUGUUGCUCAGUCACUUCAUAUAAGAUGUACAUUGUUUCUGUGCCCACAGGAAAAGCAACUAUCAACAUGACCUGGAGCUUCAAUUAGUGGCUCGAGGAAUAGAGCCAACCAGAGACUUCCACACAUGAUGCUGAAUGAAACAAGUUACCAUCAUUCUAAUCUGAAUAGACUUUCAGCUCUCUUCGUAUGAAACAAUAAAAAAUGCUGUCACCCAAUUUAUGCGACUUGCAUUAAAUAUUUUUUCAUUUUACUUAACAGCUCGCACACCAAUAGUCUUGACACGGAAUCUAAACUGCGGCUGAGAAUCCUCCUCCUCGUCAUCGUCAUCUUCGCUAGACUCAUCUUCCACCCUGUCCCAUCUAGAAUAGUCUAGCCGUGAAUGUCCCUUUGGCUGUGGGAUUGCUUCCCAGCUAGUGGACUGUUGUUCAGAUGAUUUUUCAGCUGUCUCAACAUCACCAACUUCAGUUGUCAGUUCCACAGUCCAGACGUUGUGGUUGCUUCCAUGACAUCUCUGUCGUCUUUCCCUACAUCACCUUCAUUGGUUUCUUUAACAACAUCACCAACUUCAGUUGUCAGUUCGACAGUUCCAGACUCAGCUUCUCCUGUGGUUGCUUCCAUGACAUCACUGUCGUCUUUCCCUACAUCACCUUCAUUGGUUUCUUUAUUAGUAAAUUGUUCUUCCUCAUCUU